ACUCCUACGGGAGGCAGCAGUGGGGAAUAUUGCACAAUGGGCGCAAGCCUGAUGCAGCCAUGCCGCGUGUAUGAAGAAGGCCUUCGGGUUGUAAAGUACUUUCAGCAGUGAGGAAGGGGGUGGUCGUUAAUAGCGGCAUCUCUUGUACGUUAGCUGCAGAAGAAGCACCGGCUAACUCCGUGCCAGCAGCCGCGGUAAUACGGAGGGUGCGAGCGUUAAUCGGAAUUACUGGGCGUAAAGCGCAUGCAGGUGGUUUGUUAAGUCAGAUGUGAAAGCCCGGGGCUCAACCUCGGAACUGCAUUUGAAACUGGCAAACUAGAGUACUGUAGAGGGGGUAGAAUUUCAGGUGUAGCGGUGAAAUGCGUAGAGAUCUGAAGGAAUACCGAGUGGCGAAGGCGGCCCCUGGACAGAUACUGACACUCAGAUGCGAAAGCGUGGGAGCAAACAGGAUUAGAUACCCCGUGGUAGACGAGUG
rnacentral:rRNA from 1 species